UCCUACGGGAGGCAGCAGUGAGGAAUAUUGCACAAUGGGGGCAACCCUGAUGCAGCAACGCCGCGUGAACGAUGAAGGCCUUCGGGUUGUAAAGUUCUUUUCUGAGGGAAGAUAAUGACGGUACCUCAGGAAUAAGUCCCGGCUAACUACGUGCCAGCAGCCGCGGUAAAACGUAGGGGGCUAGCGUUAUCCGGAUUUAUUGGGCGUAAAGCGCACGUAGGCGGCGCUGUAAGUUGGGCGUGAAAGCUCUCGGCUUAACUGAGAGAGGUCGUCCAAAACUGCAGUGCUUGAGGGUGAAAGAGGAGAGUGGAAUUCCCGGUGUAGUGGUGGAAUGCGUAGAUAUCGGGAGGAACACCAGUGGCGAAAGCGGCUCUCUGGUUCACCCCUGACGCUGAGGUGCGAAAGCGUGGGGAGCGAACGGGAUUAGAUACCCCGGUAGUCCACGCCGUAAACGAUGGAUACUAGGUGUAGGAGGUUAUUUACCCCUUCUGUGCCGAAGCUAACGCGUUAAGUAUCCCGCCUGGGGACUACGACCGCAAGGUUAAAACUCAAAUGAAUUGACGG
rnacentral:rRNA from 1 species